CAUUACUGUUCCCAUCUCUAUUACAGAACCGUACAUGAGAUUUUCACCUCAUACGGCUCCUGGAAAGCCUUAAGUAAAUUUAAGGACCGGGUCGAUUAUUUAUCUCUUGAUAUAUCCCUAAGAUAUAGAAGAUGAAAAUCUAUCGAACGGUUCUGAAUUAGACCAAUUCAAUUCUGUCUGUUCUACAAAUAACGAAAUAAGAAAGAGAAAUCUAUUUUAAUAAAAGAUCCAAUUAAGGCACUUCUGAAUUGAUCUCAUCCCUCAAAAAAAAAAAAACUUUGUUGAGUAAUAACUGAAUUCUUCAAUAAAAUACUCUUUUAUAAUUCUCAAUAAUCCUCAUGAUUUUGAAUGACGAAAAAUAAUUACACAUUCGUUUCUUAAUUCUUAAAUUGGAUCUCCAUGAAUAUGGAUAUAAGAAAUCAAAAACGAAAGAGAAAUCUAUUUUUCCUUUUUGAUUUCUUAUUAUUUUUCUUCCUAUUCUUCUUUUGUGUGCUAUGAAAAAGGGACUUGCAAAAAUUUUAAAGGAUUUUUCCGUUCCUGAUAGUAAUUUAUUUAGUGAGUGGAUGGAAGCAUACUCUGGAUCGGAGUUGUGGGGAGUAUUGCUUUCUUUUUUCUACCAACUUAAAGCCCCAAUUAGUAUUCUUCUUAUAUUCUGCGUAAAUUUUCUUUUGGAUAAUUUACAAAAUCUGUGUUACUAAUCCUUUGUGUAUCUUGGUGUUUCUAACCAUCUACUUAAGCCCAAUCCCACUUAAGUGCCCACAAAGAAAGCAUGGAAUUUGAAAGGGGCAGCUGUACAGCUGCUCCAACCGUGUGGCUUUGCAAGCCUUCGGUAUUCCUCAUGCAGCCAUCUGUCUUGGUAAUGAGAAUAUUCAUGGCCUUUGAAAAACUCCCCAACCGUCAUUUGUAUUAAUUGGUACAUAAAUGAUUAUUAACUCUAAUAACAACACUACAAUGUCUCUUUAAACUCCAAUAACCCCCUCCCUCUAUGCAUUUUUCACUAUUGCCAUACAGUAUAUCGACGAAAGAAAAAUCCACACUGCCGAACUUGAUGAACAACAUAUGAAGUUCAUCAGUUUCGAUUUCAAAAAUUUAGAGAAAAAACGAAAUAACCAGUUUCCAAAACAAAUUCCACAGCCCUAACCUAAAAUGCUUCGGAACAUCAAACAAAUCAGAACCCUAUUUCAUGGCUUUUCUAGAAACAAAAUCCAAUUGCAAUCCCCAUUCAAACGUUAGCCAUGGCAAGAAGAUACCGUAUACAAUAUUGACAAUCAACAACCAUCAAUUAAUUUGACGUACAAGGUUUAAUACGCAUAUGAAGGUUUUGAUCCCAAAAAGCUUUACGCAAAGAGAAACAGAUCUCAACGAAGCCUCACGACUCCGUCGAAAUUCCGGUGACCAAGAGUAAUACCUCAGGGUCUUAGCUCGGAUUACUCAAAGUUCUAAGGAUAAACUUUGAGCACCCAUUUGGUAUUUUUGAGCUUUGGUGCGGUUUGUGAUGGGAUUUCGGCAGGGUAACGAUGCUCUUUUUUUUCUCCCUUUUCAGUGACUGCGUGCCUCUCUUUAUAGAACUCAGAAUAUACUCCCUCUAAUCAUGAGCUGGCAAAUCCUAGCAAGAUCAUUCCGUUAGGAGAGAAUUUUCUUCAGAUUUGGUGGGGACCAAGGUUACACACAUUUUCAGGAAAAUAUCUUGCAGACUUACAAGAGGAGUGGCAAUAUUGUAGGUCUUAGUUGCAACAACUAUUAUUGUUUAAGAGACACAGGCUGAUGAUGCUGCCACUGUGGCGCCUGCCAUUGUUGUUGCUUCACUACUUGACUAGUUACACUAGAAUCAGGAGUUCUACUGAACCCAUAUGGUGGCAGAUGAUGUUCUUACCGUUGAUGCUCAAAUGACCUCCAAAAAGAAGUAUCAAUUCAGGGAAAAUUGGGGAUGCAUGUGUGAAGCUUAUUCCCUUCCAGUAACACCAAAACAGUUGGUAAGUGAAUCUGAUAUAAUUACAGAAGGAGCAGGUUCGGUACUUCUCGUUCCCAUCCACUUCUUCCUUCUGUUUUCCUUUUAGCAGGUUUUUUCUGAUUGGUUCAAGUGUGAUGAUGUGUUUAUCUAGCAACUUUGGUUCAUUUCACUGAUAUGUCGCUGCUUGACUAGGUUGAAAAUUGAUUGUGUAAUAUGCUCACUGAUAUGCCUUGCCUCAAUUUCCUUUCACAUGGGUUGCUCCUUUAUUGGUUUCAAUCCUGUCUAUUGGCUUUGUUUGUUGCCUCACCUUAUUGCCUAUUGAUGGGAACUAAUGGCAAUAUUAUGGGAUUAAAGACUGCAACCUUUGUUGAUGAUUUGGACUGCUUGCUGCAAACUGAUAUGCUAAUAUUGCGGACUUGCAUUUCUACUCGAUGCAGGUUUUGUUCAAAUUCUGGCUUGCUGCAGCAGGCUUAUGGAUAUUGCAUUGUUGCUGACUGCAUUACUUCAUAGUUUUUGUGAGGGUCUAAUUCCUCAACACAAAACUGCAGGGCAUGCUGUUGGCUUGGUUGCUCUGUUGUAAACAAAAAUGUGGUUGUAAUUCAUCUUCAUUAGGAUUUAGGCUAUGUAAAUUACUAGGUUCGUUAUGUAAAAAAGGUCAACUUGUUUGGAUCAUAAUAACUUGUAGCCAUGGAUCAACAUGAAGUAUGAUUGGUUUGUGGUUUUGUUUGGUAUGUAUGUAGCAGCCUAUGUGUUGUUGCUAUGCUGGCCUUUCAUACAGUCGUGGCUUUCUUCCAUUCUUCAAUUGCUUUUUUCGUUUUAUCUGUAUCUUGCUUUUUCUGUAAUGGACAUGUCUUUCUUUUAAAUAAGAGCAGCUUAAAUCUUCCAGGUCAAAA